rnacentral:rRNA from 1 species
GGACGAACGCUGGCGGCGUGCUUAACACAUGCAAGUCGAGCGGUAAGGCCCUUUCGGGGGUACACGAGCGGCGAACGGGUGAGUAACACGUGGGUGACCUGCCCUCAGCUCUGGGAUAAGCCUGGGAAACCGGGUCUAAUACUGGAUAUGACUCCAUGACGCAUGUUGUGGGGUGGAAAGCCUUGUGCGGCUGAGGAUGGGCCCGCGGCCUAUCAGCUUGUUGGUGGGGUGAUGGCCUACCAAGGCGACGACGGGUAGCCGGCCUGAGAGGGCGACCGGCCACACUGGGACUGAGACACGGCCCAGACUCCUACGGGAGGCAGCAGUGGGGAAUCUUGCGCAAUGGGCGAAAGCCUGACGCAGCGACGCCGCGUGAGGGAUGAC